rnacentral:lncRNA from 1 species
CAAAGUUCAAAGAGCAACCAGUCAGAAACCAAUAGCACGAGCAAAGGUAAGACAUCAAAACUGAAUUACCUUCUGCUUCGAUAAUUGGGGGGUCAAUGCCCUGGGAAGAAGGUGGCUCAUUCAUAGGUUGUGGUGAAGAAUCUGGAACUGAAGAUGUAUCUUUAAGCAUGGUCCCAUCAUCAACCGGUUUGGGUGAAGUAGCCUCAACAGAGGAUGAUGGAGCAGGAUUUGGUAAUGCCAAGGCCUUUGAAGGGGAAGCUGAGNUCUGAGCAGCCAAGUUAACCAUCAAGGAGUCUUCAAUCAUGACUUCGGAAGAGAUUUCUUGCAACUCGUCCUUAGCCUUGUUGAUCUCCAAGCACAGAGACUCUUUCUCGGCUACGGCUCGAAGAUAUUGAGUACGCUUGGCCUUUAGUUCAGCAUUCUUGGCCAGCAUAGUAAGGACCUCGGAGUGAAUGACCUUCAACGUCGCUUUAAAGUCGGCAGAAAGAUUGAGCGACGGAAGCGUCAGUGCUUGCUCUAAUUUCGCACUCAAGCGUUCAAGUUCAUCCUUGUGUCUGGCAACACUAGCUCUUCCGAUGUCCAUGUCCAUGAAGGACACGUACUCAAAUACCAACUCCUUCAAGAACUUUAAGUCCUCUUCUGAAGAAGCAGCAGGACGAUCAGAUGGAGUAGGGCGAGGCAUUUGGACCUGCCCCCAGGAAGCGAACAAAUCCUGGAUAGAACGAACAAUCCUGUCAGCAUCCUGCAAAGAAGAUUGCCAACAUUAAAAAUAUUCGUUACAACNGGACAAAAUUCUUAAUGCAAAGCAGUUAAAUGCUUGAAGAAUUGAUGAUUAGAAAAUAAACAUCAAAUAAAUGCACAAGAAAUUAAUGUUCAUUAAUAAGGGACAAAAGUACAAAAAAGAAAAGACAUCGUGUGUCUUAAUUACAAACUACCCCAUAAGGAACGAAUUCGUUCCCUAAGUUUUUCCCAAUCCUCGUUCUGUCGGGAGGAAGUGAUGUUCAAUUCAGCCGCAACGUCAUCAUCAUCAACCUCCAGCUUCUUAUACUGUUCGACCAAGGAUUUGGUUCGCUCAAUUCCCUGAGAGGCGUUGCGCUUUUUAGCGGCCAUCCUCGCUCUACAAUCGUCCAUUUUGGCUUGAAGUUUCCUCAUCUGAGCAGUCAAGUUAACCAUCAAGGAGUCUUCAAUCAUGACUUCGGAAGAGAUCUCUUGCAACUCGUCCUUAGCCUUGUUGAUCUCCAAGCACAGAGACUCUUUCUCGGCUACGGCUCGAAGAUAUUGAGUACGCUUGGCCUUUAGUUCAGCAUUCUUGGCCAGCAUAGUAAGGACCUCGGAGUGAAUGACCUUCAACGUCGCUUUAAAGUCGGCAGAAAGAUUGAGCGACGGAAGCGUCAGUGCUUGCUCUAAUUUCGCACUCAAACAUUCAAGUUCAUCCUUGUGUCUGGCAACACUAGCCCUUCCAAUGUCCAUGUCCAUGAAGGACACGUACUCAAAUACCAACCCCUUCAAGAACUUCAAGUCCUCUUCUGAAGAAGCAGCAGGACGAUCAUAUGGAGUAGGGCGAGGCAUUUGGACCUGCCCCCAGGAAGCGAACAAAUCCUGGAUAGAACGAACAAUCCUGUCAGCAUCCUGCAAAGAAGAUUGCCAACAUUAAAAAUAUUCGUUACAACGAACAAGUUGGAAAUAGGAAUGGGGCAAAGAGAAAAACUACCUCGUCGACGAUCGUAGAAGAUGGUGCACCCUCAGCCAAGCUGGCCACCAAUGACUCGUCCAUUUGUGAGGAUUUUCCCUUGUCCGAGCGAGAAGACGUUGCCACAACGGGCGGACUCAUGGGAGUAUCUACAAAGUUCAAAGAGCAACCAGUCAGAAACCAAUAGCACGAGCAAAGGUAAGACAUCAAAAACUGAACUACCUUCUGCUUCGGUGAUUGGGGGGUAGACGCCCUGGGAGGAAGGUGGCUCAUUCAUGAGUUGUGAUGAAGAAUCUGGGACUGAAGAUAUACCUUUAAGCAUGGUCCCAUCAUCAACCGGUUUGGAUGAAGUAGCCUCAACAGGGGAUGAUGGAACAGGAGUUGGUAAUGCCAAAGCCUUUGAAGGGGAAGCUGAGCUUUUCUGAAAAGUCCAAAAGAUCAUCAGUACACAGAAAAUUUUCAGAUGGGGAAGAGCAUACUUGUAAAUAGGCCAAUUUAAAUACCUUCCUUUUAACGAUAAGAGGGACAUCAUCAUCAUCAUCAUCAACAUCAUCCUCCAGAAUGGGAGAUGCUGAAGCUGGCCGUUUGCGGCUUGGAACACUCUUGGCCAUAGUUGGCUUGGCAGGGAGGGAAGAAGAUGGACGAGCAGAUUGUUUAGUACGACGAGAAGGAGAAGGGUUCCGAAUAGACAAAGGAGGGGCCAAAACAGGAGGAGGAGAAGAAAUACUCGGUUGAUCUAAUGAAUGAAAGGCACGGUUGGCCUCAGUCGCAAAUAAUCUGCGCUUCACCGAUGGCCAAAGUUGUUCGAAAAGAGGNA